rnacentral:rRNA from 1 species
AUUGAACGCUGGCGGCAGGCCUAACACAUGCAAGUCGAACGAGUGGCGGACGGGGGUGUGAUGUUUGGGAAUCUGGCUUCUGGAGGGGGAUAACUACGGGAAACUGUAGCUAAACCCGCGUACCAUAGGAUGUGCCCAAUUGGGAAUGGGUAGUUGGUGGGGUAAAGGCUCUACAAGCCGACGAUCGCUAGCUGGUCUGAGAGGAUGACCAGUCACACUGGGACUGAGACACGGCCCAGACUCCUACGGGAGGCAGCAGUGGGGAAUAUUGCGCAAUGGGGGCAACCUGACGCAGCCAUGCCGCGUGAAUGAAGAAGGCCUUCGGGUUGGAAAGCUCUUUCGGUAGGGAGGCGUUACCUGCAGAAGAAGCACCGGCUAACUCCGUGCCAGCCGCCGCGGUAAUUG